GAUGCACAUACACACACACACACACUUACCCACACAAACACACACACACACACACAAACACACACACACACACUUACACACACAAGCACACACACACACACACACACACACACACACACACACACCUAUAGAUAUAUAUAGUAUUUGUGAGUAUGUGUAUUAUGUAAGUAUAUGCCUUUCCCUACCUUUGUCUAUGCUUCUCUUUUCUCUCUCAAUCUUGCCCUCCUUUUCUCCCUGACUCUCUCUGUUUCUCCAUUGUCUGUCUCUCUGUGUGUAUGUUAGUGCGUGUUAGUGUGUGUGUUUGUGUGUAUCUGAGUAUUUGUGUACCUGUGUGCGUGUGUUUACACAGAUACACACAUAGGUAUACAUGCACACACAUGGACACACAUACAUAGGUACAAGCAUACAUACAAAAGUUUAAGUUAUUCUUUGUCACUCUUUCUAUAACAUCAGGUUCAUCCCUAUAAUAUCUUUAUUGCCACUUGCUAUUGUUAGUUCUAACUCUAAUAACCUAUUAGUACUGCUAGUUAUUCUAUAGAAGUACUAACAAGCGCCAAUGCCGUCUCCAUUGCGGCAGUGAGUGGAUGAAUUCACUACUACUGCUGCUUCCAUUGGCGCUGCUGCUUUUGCUGUUGCUCUCUCAAUUCCAACUCAAAACGUUGCUUUAAUGAUCAGUGCUGCUACCACGUUCCCUGGAUAAACUCAUACAGAUGUUUUGGUACUAACUAAGCAGCGAUCCUUCAAGGGCUAAAAAAUGGUGCGAAGGCUCCAACUGAACCGGAUCUGUGAGACAUGAAAUGAGAGUCAAGCAUUGUUGAAGACAAAGCAGUUUCAUAGCAACCAUCACCACAGACUGUCAUGAUGAAUAAAAGGCCUUCUUCCUACCUAGACUCAAUCUUUUCUCAUUUGAAGGAGAGACGAAAUGAAAUGCGUAAUUACAGUGAGAUAGAGUGAUUUCAAGUGCUUCUAUGUUCACACUUUAAUUGAAAAUCUAAAACAGAAAAGCUUAAAGAGACAAAAAUGUUAUCCAGGCGCGACAUUGCAUAUCUUAAAAGAACAUCAUGAUUUCUUUUACUCUUGGAAAUGUAAUUGAUAUUAUGAGUAUGAACCAACUAAAAAUCUGUACUUAGCAAUUUCUUUUUUUAUCACUUUGUUAUUUCAAGUUAAUGAAGUUGGUUACAGCAUAACCAUCAUAUCGUUGUGUUGAAAAAGAGAACACAAAAAAAAAAAACUGUGAAUCAUUUAUUCUCUCUAAGUAAAACUACACACACACACACGCUCUCUCUCUCUCUCUCUCUCUCUCUCUCUCUCUCUCUCUCUCUCUCUCUCACACACACACACACAAAUAUAUUCAUAAUUGGAUCGCUCUCUAAAAUGAUAAUAUCUUUUAGGCGUUUCCCAAUAUACAUGAUGAAUAAAAGAAUAUAACUUAAAUAUUAAUGGUCAGAAGAAUUUACUUAUCUGAAUGGUAACGCUCAAUUGAAUGUACGAGUAAUAAUAAUAAUAAUAAUAAUAAUAAUAAUAAUAAUAAUAAUAAUAAUAAUAAUAAAAAUAAUAAUAAAAAUAAUAAUAAUAAUAAUAAAAAUAAUAAUAAUAAUAACAACAACAACAACAAUAAUAAUUGUUCUUCAAGAAUUCCUGAAUAUUUCACUGCCAAUUCUUCUUAAUGAUGUCAUAACUUUCUUUCAAACGAAAAGACUUUGAAAGGAAAUGCUGUGACGGAAUUGAAUGAAUAAUUCGAGAUAUUCAUUACAACGAAUUCACAUUAAAAGAAUAAAUAAACGUUUAUUUGAUAAAAAAAAAAAUCUUACAGUUUUUCAAUGGGAUGAAUAAAAUAAUGACUCUAGUAGCUAUCUUACCGUACAAAUAAACGUAAAGUGUACUAUGUGAUAUAAAGUAAUAGAACCACACCAAAGUGGACGACUCAUUAGCAACUGUGUUGCUUAACUUUAUCCCAGACUAUUGAAUUAUGGUUUUCUGAAGUUAAUCUAGAAACAUGGAUGCAGGAUAAAGCAAAGGUUUAUCAGGUCAUUUAAAGCGAGCGUCUUUCUCUAUUACCGUGAAGGAAGGGAAACACAGGUGUGAACAAUAUAACUCAGCCUUUCGGACGGUUUCUUCGGCUUCUUUGUAAUUCUCUCAAGCUGGCUACCUCUGCAGAAGAAUUAGCCGAGAGUGGCUCCACUGGCGACGAAAGAAGUUCCACUCAGCGCAGCUAUGAACCGUAUGAGCUGCAGAUCUACUCAGAUUUGGGAACGGACCACGAUGACUCCAUCGAAAUCCUCUCGUGUCAACUGGAACCUGGAGAAUCGAUAUAUUAUAAAAUGGAAAGCGGGACAACGACAAGGUGCAAAGAGGUAGUUAAACGCUUUGCCAAGAGAGAACCCACUAAGAAACAGAAGUUGAUCGCCCGUGUUGUGAUGAUUGUCUCUAUGACAAUGUUGACUGUUAGCGUUCUUUUGGUGAUUGUUUCCCUCACAAUGUCUGAACACAUUGAUGAUUUAGCUAGAAAAAUAGCCGACCACAAAAUUCGAACGGGACUAUCUAGGGUUUCGACUUCAGAGAAUAUGACCUCGGCGAAAUCUGUUUAUGUGCACGAUAACAAGUCAGCCACAGAAGAGACGUUUAUAUAUACACAGAUGUCUACUGAUAUAGUUCUCAACACAACAGAAUAUCACAAAUUCAGUUAAGCUAGUCUACUAAUAGAAGGCUAAACAAUCACGUGAUGACAAUUUGGACUAACUCCAAAUAGGAAAAUUCAAGAAUUCUCCGAAUUUGGUAUAUUAUUAAAGACGGUGUAAUUGUCCUGGAAGAAGAGGACAACUGCGAACUCGUAUUUCUUCUUUAGUAGGCGUCAUCAGCACAGCAACAGUGGCUAUUUUGAAAAAGACACAUGCUAAUUGAAAUAGUGUAUGGAGUCACCUAAGUAGUAAGCAUUCAGCUAUUUUCCUGUUAAAAGAUAAAAAAUGAAAAGCGAAAUUCAGAGGUGUUUGUACAUAACCCUACAUAAUAAAUAUCCAUUGUAUAAGAUUCAUUGAAUGGUGUUGAAAUCCUACUACAAGCAUUUAGAAGUGAGAACGUGAGAAAGGCCCUUUUCAUACGACAGGAUUUCUGUAGACAGUACUAGGAAGAAUUUGAAUGAUAUUUCAAAGCUCCAACAGUUUUGUUGGUAAUAUUUCAUCAUGCAUGUGUGAGGGAUGUAUAAUUAUGUAUAUGUGGGUGAGUGUUUGUGUGUAUGAUUAAAUAGAUAUAUGUGUGCAUGUAUAUGCAUGCAUGUGUGUAUAUGUGUUUUCUGGAUGGGUGUUAUACUAUGUACAUAUGUUUGCAUGUAUGAUGGCAGUUUAUUCGUGUCCGAAGACCACGAGGGAGAGUGUGACACGCUCUCAACUGACUUUGUAAACUGAUCAUUAAUGCUGCAGGGCUUUUCUUCCAACCAGUGCUUAGUAGAUUUAAAGUGAAAGUAAGUCUAUACUAACCGAUCCCACUCCUUAGACUUGGAGGUCUGACCACAGUGGGUCUGCAGGCUAAGACCGUUGCAGUGACCAGCAAGCUGUAGGUCUUACUUUGGAGUGGCCCCCUCCUAGGUAAAUUCCCUUAGAUGGUUGGAGAAAUCCACCUAUCCUGGAGUUGCUGGAAGGGUGUCAAAGAUGGCAUGUCUAACGUAUGUGUAUAAUGCACUUUGUAAGGUACAUCCACUUGUUAUGCAAUGAUACCUCAAGGUGAACACCCUGUACUUGUGCUACAGAAAUCAAAUAAGAAACGUUUUUCUCACAUCACUCAGAAUCGAACCAUGUUGUAUUUAGGUUAAACUACAUAGGACAACAAAUAUUUGGAGACUUACGAAAUGAAUACUAAUGCUCUUGUGUCUUUCUAAAAAUAAAAUGAAAGACUUCUUUUUCCUUUUCUCUCUGUUUCUUUUACUUUACAUUCAUUAAUUCUUAAUCUUUAAUAACUUGUGAGCCCUUCUUCUAAGCACACUAACAGUAACAGUUGUUCAGUGUCUAAUUUAAAAUCUGUAGAAUAAUUAUUUUUGUUGGUGCAUUUUCUUUGUUUAUUUGGGCUAAUCGUACAGUGUGUUAAUUUAUAACCCAUAGUCGUGUGCAUGAUGGCAUCACAGGAAUGUUCAAUGCAUAUGUGUGUGUGUGUAUGUGUGUGUGUGUAUAACAUAAUUAUAAAGAUCCGUUAGAACCUACGCAUGUCAGCAAGUAGGGCGCCAGAAAUGGCUAGGUUAACAUAGAGUUCUCAGUAAGAUAAACAACAAUGAAAGUAUCAAGUGUUGGUAGGAUACUGUAGAAAUGUAAGUACCAAACCUAAUUUAAACCGUAGAUCCGACUCUAGGGUUGGUUCCAGUUGUGACUUAGGUGUAAAAAGAGAACACAUAUAAUGUUUAAACUUUAAGACAGCUGUUUUGGGAAAAUGUUAUUGAUGUAUUCAUAAAUAAUAUCAUAACAUAUAAUUCACCAUCUUCGGUUAAAAUUUUAGAUAGAGAGAGAGGGAGUAAGAGCGAGAAUGAAAGAGAGAGAGGAGAGGUCAUAAAUUAGUUUUACAUCUUCCACUAUUUAUUGAAUCGUAGCGUCUAGAUUUGCUGCGUUUCUAAUAAAACUUUAUUUCUUUUUGCCAAUAAACUCUGGUAAAUUGUCCUUAUUUUAAUUUUUUUUUUUGAAUAUUUUCAAUUCUAAGGCUAAAUU